AUAAUAAUAUUUUGAAAUUAAUUUCUUAGUUAAAAAGCUAAAAUUAAUUUUAAAGACAAGAAGACCCUAUUAAGCUUUACAAUUUUAUAUUAUUUUCAAACUAAUAAAAUAAUUGUUCUGCUGGGGCAGCAAAUAAAUAAAUAUUAUUUAUAUAUUGUGAUAAAUAAAUCUAGAAAAAUCAAUAAUUUAUUAAAUAAUAACAAGUUACUAUAGGGAUAACAGCAUAAUUUUUUUAAAGAGUUCUCAUCAACAAAAAAGUUUGUGACCUCGAUGUUGGA
rnacentral:rRNA from 1 species